UAUUUCUUGGGGAACAUGGAAGGGUUAUCCGGGGACAAACAUGGGGGACAGUAAAUGAGGGAAACUAGCUGGCAGUGAAUUUAAUUCCCAAACUAGCUUCUUAAAGGUGUUUUAUUGCUACCCAUCAAGUCCGAUGUGUUUUCAAGACUACUGCCCAUCCCCAUUGUCACCCUGGUGCCUCUGCCCAGGGUAGGAGUUGGCUCCGGUGUAGGGAAGGAGGAGGGUGGUUAUUGGGAGAAGCGGACAAAAUUUGGGGAAACAAGUGCUGUAUUACAUGGGGUUUUGCUGCUGCAAAGAGCAUUUGUGGGGAUGGGGGCCGCAAGCAAACGCUGCAGCUCAGCCGGUUCUGCUCCCUUUUGAUGGGCCUUGGUGAGCAAUUUGCCGAGGUCAAGGAGCUCUUUGAAGAGCUGGAGGGAGGGGAAAAGCUCUUCAGAGUAAAAUACUUCAAAUUUUGAUGGGGUUUAUACUACAAUGAAGCUGUGUGUUGCUUCUGUGUGGCUCUUUCCCCACUGCGACGCAGCCCCACGUCCUGGUGCGACUGCGUCUCGCUCCACAGAUGUUCUUGGCAACCUCAGCUCUUACCUUGGGUUGAGCUUUGAGGAAGCAGAAGGUCAAGCUGUGGUAGUUGUUGAGGAAGUUUGUAGGUUAUAAAUUCAGCUAGACCUGGUCCUUAAAAAUAAAAGAAAAUAAGAAUUUAAUGUGGACUGUCUUGUACAGGUGGGUUGGAGAAGUCAACAAGGUUGUGUGAACAAGACCAUACUGCUGAGGAAACCAGAUACCCAAGUGCCUUAGCUUUUGGGGAAAAAAAAGCUUUGUAUUUGAGACAAGCCAGUUUUGAGGAUUGAUGGCUGCUGUGGAAUGAGUGGGUAUUACAGCAUCUAAACUGAUAUCUGAGCUUCUGAGAUACAGGUGUGCCUGAGCAGGAAGGUCCCUGCAGCUGCAGUCCAUUUGGGUUUAAUUAUUGCAUUGCACUGCGUGCGGGAUUCCUCCUCAUAGAAAAGAGUCGAGGGCAAACUGCUCUGAAGAUGAAGCAGCAGAAAGAUCAGAGAAUCAUAGAAUCACAGAUGAUUUGUGUUGAAGGGGCCAUCAAAUCUCCCCCAGUGCCCCCCCUGCCAUGAGCAGGGACAUCUUCACCAGCUCAGGUUGCUCAGAGCCCCGUCCAGCCUGGCCUGGGAUGUCUCCAGGGAUGGUUCAUCCACCCUCUUGAGUAACUGCUGAAGUUGGGUUGAGGUGGUCAGGAGAUAAGUUAAUCAGGAUCUACUUUGUGUUGGUGCAUUUUAAUCUCUGCAAGAAGACUGGCAAAGGUGUGUUCGAGGUGCACAAGAGGAAGAAGUUGAUGGGUGUUGAGCAAGUGCUUGCCAGAAUGUCCAGCUUCUCGCUUCCUUCACCCCAGGGAUGAACACUGAGUUAUAGAUUUGGUAGGGCACAUGGUGGGACUGCAUAAUCAAGACCAGUGUGAGCUUGAAGGGCAGUGGUGGAGUCACCAUCCCUGGAGGGGUUGAACAGACAUGGAGAUGAGAUUCUCAGGGACAUGGGGUAGUGCCAGAGUCAGGUUAUGGUUGGACUCAGUGAUCCUGAGCAUCUCUUCCAACCCAAAUAAUUCUAUGAUCUGGAGGGAAAGAGUUAAAUCUGAGCAAAACCCAAAUUGUCUGGCAGGGCUGGAGCUCUUCCAUUCUUCCCAAAACAAGAGGAGCAGGUCAGGAACCCCAGGAAUCGCUCCUGCACCUGAGGGUCCCCAUGGAGGGCUGUGUCAGGGCUGGUGGCAUCGCCUCGGUGUUUUCUUCUGAGUCUGCAUCUCCAAAUGAACACACAGCCUGAGCCACCCAGGCAGGACGGGGAUUCUGCCUGUGCACUCUCCUCCCACUGCUGGACCAGGUGUCACCUCAAUGACACCAGUUACAGUCAAAAAAACAGCGUGAAACUCGAGUUGUGAUGGUUCACUGCCUUCACCUGCAGGGGCACUCAUUGUGCACCCCAGGACACUUGCUGCCUUGUCACCGUUUUUAAAACGCUGUUUAGAAAAGGCAGAGCCUGGCUCCUGCAGCACCUGGGGUGCAAGGAGACCCCGACACCCAUCCUGCGGGUGCUCCUGCCAAUGCUGCCAUAGAACAGAGUAAUAGAAUCAUUUUGGUUGGAAAAGACCUUUAAGAUCAUGGAGUCCAAGCGUUCCCCCACCCCUGGCACUGACCCAGACUGGUUGGGGUUGAAGGGACCUCUGGAGAUCAUCCAGUCCAACCCACCUGCUCACGCAGGGUCACCAGAGCAGAUCACACAGGGUCGUGUCCAGGCGGGUUUGAAUGUCUCAGAGAAGGAGACUCCACAACCUCUCUGGGCAGCCUGGGCCAGGCUCUGGCACCUCAUGGGAAAGAAGUUUCUCCUCAUGUUCAGAUGGAACCUCCUGUGUUUCAGUCUGUGCCCGUUGCUCCUCAUCCUGUCAUUGGGCACCACUGAACAGAGUCUGGUCCAUCCUCUUGACAUGGGUGCUUGAGAUAUUUAUAAACAUUGAUAAGAUCCCCUUUCAGCUUCUCUUCUCCAGGCUGAACAGCCCCAGCUCUCUCAGUCUCUCCUCAUAAGAAAGAUGCUCCAGAUCCUUCAGCAUCUUUUUAGCCACCACUGGACUCCCUCCAGUAAUUCCUUGUCCUUCUUAAACUGGGGAGCCCAGAACUGGACACAGUUAACAGAACCAAAGAAUCAUUUUGGUUGGAAGAUCAAGAUCACGGAGUCCAACCAUUAACCCACCCCUGGCACUGCCCCAUGUCCUGAGAACCUCAUGUCCGUCUGUCCAGCCCUCCGGGGAUGGUGACUCCAGCACUGCCCUGGGCAGCCUGUUCCAAUGCCCCACAGCCCUUUGGGGAAGAAAUUGUUCCCAGAUCCAACCUCAACCUCCCCUGGUGCAACUUGAGGCCGUUUCCUCUGCUCCUGGCGCUUGUUCCUGGGGAGCAGAGCCCGACCCCCCUGGCUCCAAGCUCCUUUCAGGCAGUUCAGAGAUCAGAAGGUCUCCCCUCAGCUCCUGUUCUCCAGCUGAACCCCCCAGGUCCCUCAGCCGCUCCAUCACACUUGUGCUCCAGCCCCUCACCAGCUCCAUUCCCUGCUAUGGGGGCUCAGCUCUGCUGUCUCACAGCUCUGACACACGUUGUGCAUCAUCAAGAUUUGUUUCUUCAAGCGACUCAUCGCAGGAAAUGAAUUUUCUGCUCCUCCGCUGCCACCCCCAGCUCCCACUGCCGGGCUCGGGUUCCAUCAGCAGCACUGAAACCACCCUUGGCUCUUACGGUGGGAACGCCAACAGGUAUCCACAGGCACAGAUGUGAACUGGGAAGCCCAGCGUACCACUGGUUUUGAGCCAGCUUCGCCUUCUCUUGGUGGCUUCUUGGUUAUGCUGUUUUGCUUCAGACACAAAUCUAUUCAGUCCUUGUCCUGAGCACCAGCCAGAGGCUCCAUUGAAACUUAUUUAACAGCAAUUCCUUUAUUUUUACAUGCUUUAAUAGGGCCUGGGCUGUAUCAUUUGGGAGGAUGCUUUAUUGAGAUGUUGGGUGGCAACUCGCUUUCUCCUCUGCAUUAACUGUUUUAAAACAUUGACUCCCUGGUUCGAUUUUAUUUGCCCUUUAAUAAAAAAAGAUAAUAUCUGCUAGAGACGAGUUUUUUUUCUCCCUCAGGCAGGUGUUUAAGAGUUCUCAUUGUUUUUAAAGCAGCUGUUUCUGUGCUUUUCGAGCGGCUGUCAGCUUGCUGAAGACAAUGAUUGAUUAUCAAGCACUUAAUUGAAAACACCGUUGAAGUGAUGUGAUGCAGAUCAUCGCUGGGAUGCUCAGGAUCACUCUUGGUCCAUGUACAGUGCUUGGAACAUCACUGCACAAAAGCAUCCCUGUAGUUUGAACGUUAGCAGGGGGAGAUGCUCUUCCUCAGCGGUUCAUGUCUUGCUUGCAAUGAAAUGACUUUAUUUUCUUGUGCAUAAUUUUAAUCAACUUUUCUCAGUCACAGAAGGGAAAAAAUGUCAUGAACUUGCUGCUUCUCUUCACCAUGAGCCAGAUUUAAAAGUACCUUUGAAAACCUGUCCUCUGCCUUUCAGCAGAUUGAAUUAUAUCCUCCGCACACCUCUUCUUAUUAACAGAUUGAGAAAGCAAACCAAGGCUUUUCCGUAGGCAUCGCUACUUUCUUCGCUCUGAGCUCAUCUCAAGUGCAAAAUACCUUCUGCGCAAACAACACAAAGCAAAAGUAACGACGGCAAAAGCCUUUUUAUGGGACAGAAAACAAAUUGACUUCAGGAAAAUGGGAAUGUGGCAUUGGUUGGAGCGAGAAGUGCUGGAGCGGGUCCAGAGAAGAGCAACACGACUGGGGAAGGGACUUGAACAUAAGACCUAUGAGGAGAGGCUGAGGGAGCUGGGCUUGUUUAGUCUGGAGAAGAGGAGGCUUAGAGCUGAGCUCAGCACUCUCUAGAACUACCUGAAGGGCAGUUCUAGCCAGGUGGGGAUUGGUCUCUUCUCCCAGGCAUCAGCAAUAGGACAAGGGGCCAUGGGCUUCAACUCUGCCAGGGGAAAUUGAGGCUGGAGAUUAGAAAGCAAUUCUGUGCAGAGAGAGUGGUCAGGCAUUGGAAUGGCUGCCCAGGGAGGUGCUGGACUCACCGGCCCUGGAGGUUUUUAAACUGAGAUUGGCCAUGGCACUUAGUGCCAUGAUCUAGUCAAUGGACUGGAGUUGGACCAAGGGUUGGACUGGAUGAUCUCUGAGGUCUUUUCCAACCCAGUCCAUUCUGUGAUUCUGUGAUUCUGAGAGCGGUGGAACGGCUCCAUGUGGCCUCAACAGACAUCUGCAGAACCCGACGUCAACGUGAAUUCCCCUUUGCCGUGACUCUGCUUUUAAUUAAAAAGCCAGAACUCUAGAGGACUCACUGGAGAGCUUUGGUCGAUUUUAUGCUGAAAUGUUGGUAGUUGUGAUUCCUUCCUUGUUAUCUGAUUCUUUCAUUCAGAUUGUGAAUGUAGUUUUCUCAAAACCAGGGACAUGCAUGGGAAGGGGUGAUGGCUGGAAAUGCAAAGCUCCCAGCAGGACAAAUUUCAGCCCCUUCCCAUCUCAUCUGCCAUGGUCUUCAUUCUUGGGAGCAAAAAUAUGGAAGAAUUUUCUGUUAUAUAAUUUUAAACAUAUAUUUGGAGGGGCUCAUACCACAAGUUUUAGGGUUUUAUUUUCUAAUCAGGCUUUCACGUCUGUAUUUGGUAAAAUAUGCUACUUUUUAAGCAUUUAUACUUGUGACUUUCAUUUCGUGCCUGAACCAGUUCCGAUGUGAAUUUUCCAACUUCUGGUUUUGGGGAGGAGCAAAGUUAUUUUUUCUCACCAGCCUACACGGCAUUUAAUCCAACUGGAACACGGGGCUGCUUUUAUACAGAAAACAACACACUGUCUUUGAGAAACUCUGCCCUGCGUGACUUGAGGAGUUAAAGCCGACUGAAGAGGUUGGUUCACAUCUCCUGAUGGGGACUCCGAGGCUGUGAGCUAAAUCUGUUUGUGCUUAAAGAUGCUGCUUCUAUUUCAGUAGGAAAGUGUCCAUCAUCCACAAGUGUUUCUUCCCACGAGCUGCACUCUCAUCGCAGAGUGUGUUUUGAUCAUAAAAUCAUGGAAUCACGGCAUGAUUUGGGUUGAAGGGAUGUUCACAGGUCAUCCAGUGCCCCCCCUGCCAUGAGCAGGGACAUCUUCACCAGCUCAGGUUGCUCAGAGCCCCGUCCAGCCUGGCCUGGGAUGUCUCCAGGGAUGGUUCAUCCACCACCUCUCUGGCCAACCUGGGCCAGGCUCUCACCACCCUCAGGGACAACAAUUUCUUCCUCAUGUCCAGCCUGAAUCUCCCUCCUUUAGUUUAAAACCAUCACCCCUUGUCCUGUUGUAACACACCCUUCUAAAAAGUCUGUCCCCAUCUUUCUUAUCGGCCCCUUUUAAGUCCAGAAAGGCCACAAUAAGGUCUCCCCAGAGCUUCUCUUCUCCAGCUGAACACCCCAACUCUCUCAGCCUGUCCUCCCAGCAGAGCUGUUCCAGCCUCGGGUCAUUCCUGUGGCUCCUCUGGCCCCUCUCCAGCAGGUCCAUGUGUGUCCUGUGCUGAGGACACAGCACUACAAGUAUCUCAUCAGUCAAAAAACACCAGGGAUAUAUGUAUUUGAUUUCAAUAGGCUGGGAUGCAGUGAGGCCCCGCGUUAGCAGGGGCAGGGUGCUGCUGGUUCAUUAACCCCUCAGACACGUGAGGAUGCGCGAGGGAUUUCUGGACGCAGCCGGUGUCACUGGGAAAGCACCGAAUACGCAGCCGUUCCCCCAUAGCCAGGGAUGUGCUCAUGAACCGAAAUGCAGGCGUUAGCGAUGCUGUGAAGAAUGACGCGAUUUCUCCCCUGAAAAAUAAUACAAAAGGAGAGGGGAGGUAGGCAGGGGCUGAAUUAAUACCCAUACGGUUACGUUUCCAUCACUGUCAUUAUCUUCCAUCACUGUCAUUAUCUUCCUCACGCGGAUCGAGAUGAGUCGAGGCGGAAGGACAGAAACCUGGCUGGGUGGUUGGGUGACCCAUCUCCACCAGCCGAAAACCUUGAUGAUCCUGUUUCUCUUAUCUCAGCAUCAUACACACUGUCCUCACCGCUAUUUCUAGGCGGAUUUACGAAGCCGCUGAAGCGCUUUAAGCAGCAUUUGAAUAUUCCAGCUGGCUAAAAACCAUGUUUUGAAAGUCUUUUGUCCCUAUGCAUUAGGACCACGUCCAUUUUCGUUGCACAGGGGAUGCACCGAAGCAUCUGGGAUGGUGCAGAAGCCACCGCAGCCCCGGACAAGCAGCAGCAAGUCCCAUCUCUGCAAAUUCCAGCCUCUCCAGUGCCUUUUGUGAGAUGGCACCAGCUUUAAUACUUCAAAGAAAGGUGUCAGAAAUGCAAAAAUGAGCAAUUAAGGAUUAAUCCGCUUGUGGGGACGGGUAUCUGCCUCCCCCUCCUGAUUGCGCUGUAAAUUAGUGCUUGACUGGAGCCCUGUCGUGUAGCUAUUUAUACCUCGAAGGUUUGAAUUAUAGCUCUGUAGAUUGUAUCGUCCCUUUGUUUAAUCCUUUUUCCUUUCUUCUGUCAUGCUUUUGACCUCGGUGAUUUUCAAAGCCGUCCGAUUCGCUUCCUAUGGUUUUCUUGUGAUGGUAUUUGUCUCCAGGAAAGGGGAGGAGAAUUAAAUGGCUUUUUCUGUACCAUUUUCUUUUCCCUAACGCUCUCCUUUACUCAUUUCCUCAUUCAACCGCCCAGCCCUUUUGUUUUAACCUUUUCAGAGGUUUUCCUCUCCCAACCUUUCUAGGGCUUUAUAUUUCCCAGGGCUAGGGGUCAAUAUUGCCCAUUAUGAGCUUGAAUUUUUCACUAAAACCUUCCGAAGGGAGAUUUGCUGCCCCGCACCUUCCCACGCGUUGGACCUGCGCCUCUCCUCCGUUAUCCCCCACCGAGGAACCAGCGAUGCGAGGGAGAGUAUUGUUGCUGUUGGGUUUAUUGGCUGCGAUUUUGCAAAUAAGCGCUUUAUAAUCACUUCCUCGCCGCGUCUCGCGGCCAAGAAAGGGGGACGCGCGGCCAAGGAAGGGCCGGUGCUUCGGCUUUCCUUUCGGGUUUGCGUUUCCUAUUUCCCAGGCUCCUUUCUUUUAGACUUGUUGGAGGAUGUAGAAUAUAUAUUUAGUCUUACACAUCUCUAUAAGUCGCAUUUUAAACAAAUAAAAAAGCCAGAAUUGGCCCCAGAGCGGUGACUGCGGCCGUUCCUGGCUCUUUGCUCCAUCACAAUUUGGAUGUUCCCGGACUUCCCGUCCAGGAGAAACCGUCAGAAAAAUAAAGAGCACAGGAGAUGCAGACACGCUGAGGUCAGCUAAAUGUUUUAAACCAUUAGACGAUGCUGUACAAGGGUGGGAAAUGAACUUUGCUGCGAAUGCAAGCGGAUAGUCCCUCCGCAGCUCAAGCUUCCCUCCCAUCCCUCUCGAUGGGGAUUCCUACCUCGAGCAGCCUUCCCACCAAAAACGCUCCCUUUGGCUUUCAGGCCCUUAUAUAGCAAUGGUUUUUUUAUUUGGCAAAGCACUGGAAGGAGUUUUGCACGUGGUUAAAUGUUUUAAACAAGAAAGAAUGACGAUAGCUCUUGAACACAAGCGUUGGCCUUUGAAGCUUGAAGUUGAGCUGAGUUGGACAUGGGCUGCAAUGAGGAUGGAAGCAACAGGAACACUUGCAUGGUGGGAAAAGCCUUUAAUUAUUUAUAAUUAAUCAAGGCUGAAUGCAUAGCCUCUGAAAGAGAGGCCGUUGCUCGUUCACAUCCAAACAUUAGCACAUCAAGCCACGUCAAGUCGUGUAGGUGAACCCAAGAGAGCAAUUCCAACCAUUUGCCAUCACCUUUCCCUGUCGUUUCUUUUUUUUUAAUCUUUUCCAUGGAACACUUGCAUUUAGGUUUAAGUUAAUAAUGAAAAGAAACCUUAAAAGUGUAAGCUGAGAAAGUAUCGAGUCUUAAUUGUGAUACUCAAUUACUAGCGUGCGUGAUACUCAUUUAACAGCGUGGUCAGCAGGACAAGGGCAGUGAUCCUUCCCCUGUGCUCUGCAUUGGGGAGGCCACACCUGGAGUAUUGUGUUCAGUUCUGGGCCCCUCAGCUCAGGAAAGAGAUUGAAGUGCUGGAGCGGGUCCAGAGAAGAGCAACAAGACUGGGGAAGGGACUUGAGCACAAGCCCUAUGGGGAGAGGCUGAGGGAGCUGGGCUUGUUUAGUCUGGAGAAGAGGAGGCUUAGAGCUGAGCUCAGCACUCUCUAGAACUACCUGAAGGGCAGUUCUAGCCAGGUGGGGAUUGGUCUCUUCUCCCAGGCAUCAGCAAUAGGACAAGGGGCCAUGGGCUUCAACUCUGCCAGGGGAAACUGAGGCUGGAGAUUAGAAAGCAAUUCUGUGCAGAGAGAGUGGUCAGGCAUUGGAAUGGCUGCCCAGGGAGGUGCUGGACUCACCGGCCCUGGAGGUUUUUAAACUGAGAUUGGCCAUGGCACUUAGUGCCAUGAUCUAGUCAAUGGACUGGAGUUGGACCAAGGGUUGGACUGGAUGAUCUCUGAGCUCUUUUCCAACCCAGUCGAUUCUGUGAUUUACUUUCUGUUUGUGUUGGUUGCACAACUCAGAGGCAGGAGCCUAAAGUAGCGACACGGCUCUUAGAUCCUAUGGGUAGUUCUUUUAUUAAAGUAUAAGAAUUUCCACUAGGAUUAAGCCCCAAAAUAACCAAACCAACUUAGCAUAGUUAGUGCAAGAGCAGGCCAUCAGACAGGUAUAUCUGGGUGUCAAAUCCUAUAUUGAAAAUUAUGGGGGAAAGGCACUGGCAGGUUGGAGUUGAUUUUUCCAAUCAAGGCUUUAAGUAGGAUAUUUUCAGUCGAAGCCGUUGCGUUUAUUAGGCCGUUUACUGGUAUACGCCAUAACCAUAACCUGGUGGAUAUUUGGGAGCUUGUUUGUCUCUUGCAGCUGUUCCAGUUUUGGGGGGAAAGAUCCUGUUUCUAUUGGAGCAGCAUUUCAGACCCUGCUCCUUCUUUUUCCAGCCUGCCGCCUGCAAUUUUCACGGAAUUCAGCCUUUCUUCUCCUUAGUGUAUAUUCAGUGUAUUUGUGGGAAGAAGUGCAUUUGUGCCUGUUACGGUUUAAGGCAAGGCGGCAAUAAACAGUGGCAGACGCCCCCUGUUAUCCCCUUUACUUCCCACCACCCCUUCCUUUAGAUCGGAAAGAUGAUUGGAAAGAUAAGAGGAAAGGAAGAGAGACUUAGACUUCACGUUGGGGAGUUUCAAAGGGUUUUACUAAUGCUACUAAUAAAUAGAGAAUAUAUAUACAAACUAUACAAAGCCGAUGUCAAGUGCUGGAUGUGGAGCUGCGUCACUCCGCAGCAGAGCUGGGGGUGCGGGGCUGGCGGCUCCAGCAGCUGCAGCUCAGGCCCCGAAGUCCCGGGUGGGACUGCACAGCAAAGCGGAACCUGGGUGCAGGAUGCGGGGCCUGAGGAUCACAGACAGACAGACAGACAGACAGGAGCCUCUCCAGAUGCCGGCCAUGGGUGAAGAGAGAGUGACCCUGUGAUCACCCUCUUAUAUAGGGGUGUGACGAUGAUGGGAUGGAAUACUUCCGCUGGUCAGCUCUAGUCACCUGUUCCAUCCACCCCUCCUCAAACACGUCCCCUCACAACGGAACGUGGGAAAACUGAUCAGUCUUUCUUGGCUACCAUAGUAAUAAAUCUACACAUGAGCUUCUUCAGCAUCCCGUUGGUCUCUUAUCAGCACCGAGUGCAGCAUCCGAGGAAAAAUAUGCAGGUUGAAACUCAGAGAAGUACAGGCACCUAGAAGAACUGAGCUGAGAGAAACAUCACUGAAAGAGAACCGGUCUUGUUUUUAACAAAUCCAGGACGGUGCCCACUGCAGAAAAGCCAAUUAUUGGAUGGACCCAGAUGCAGAGUUAAGAAUAUUCGUCGAGCAAAGCCGGUGUCGUAACCUGCGUUUUCACCCGCCGGCAAUCAGGCUGCUCUGAUGGGACGGGUUCCCUUAUCCCACCCUUCCUCCUUUUUUUCUCUGCUUUCCUCCCCAAAAAAAUGAGGGGGGGAAGGAAAGCAAAGUAACUUGUGCAGAUAAAAGGGAGGUGUAAUUAUGAGCAGUGGGACCAAUUUAAAAAUGGAAGAUUUCAGAGAGACUCAGCCUUUCUUUGACACGUUGGGCUUUUUUUCCUUUCAUAGAGGAUAAAAGAAACAUAAUUUAUUCCUAAAUUGUAAUUCCUUUUUGGUAUGAAUCUGUUUAAUUAGCGUAGUUCAUAAAUGCACAGACACAGGGGAGAGGGGGGGACUGCAAAUUCAAAUGAAGAAGGUUUCCAAAGGAGCAUCUUGCUGGCAGUGAGAUGGUUGGUGCUGCGGGGAGAUAUAAUAUCCCAGGAGAAAAGGUGGAAACUCCGACGCUUUGGACUUUCAUAAGAGUGGAUGGAGGAAUUUGGGAAGUUUCUCGUAGUGGUGGGUAGGACACAAUGAUCUAAUCGAUCUCUCGCCUCUCCAGUUCAUAUGGUUUUCAUUUCCUUCUGCCGAGAGGUGGGGAUGGGAUGGGAGGUGGUAUCAGGGAUUGGUCAUUUGUUGCAGAGUUAAUAUGUUUUUUCUGGGCUUUGAUUGUGCUACUCCAAAAUAUUUUAAGUUAGAAAGGACUUUUUAGCCGUUGCUCUGAGGAUUUCAAGCUGUGUAAGGGUGUGACCAUCCGAGCGAUUAUUGCUCUUCAGCUUCACUGAAAUCACAAUUGAGACAAGUCCCAAAACUGUCUUGUAUCAAUAGGGUGGCAGCGCAGGAGCUUAGUAACCAAAUACUCUUUCACUGAGAUUUUAAUUGCGUUUUCAUUGCUUUCACACGCAAGAAAUCCUGUUUCCUAUAUGGUCCGUACUACAGAGCUCUGAGAAUGGGUCAGAAGUCACAGAGUCACAGACUGGUUGAGUUGAAGGGACCUCUGGAGAUCAUCCAGUCCAACCCACCUGCUCACGCAGGGUCACCAGAGCAGAUCACACAGGGUCGUGUCCAGGCGGGUUUGAAUGUCUCAGAGAAGGAGACUCCACAACCUCUCUGGGCAGCCUGGGCCAGGCUCUGGCACCUCAAACUGAAGAAGUUUCUCCUCAUAUUCAGAUGGAGCCUCCUGUGUUCCAGUCUGUGCUUGUUGCCCCUCACCCUGUCACUGGGCACCACUGAACAGAGUCUGGUCCAUCCUCUUGACACCCACCCUUAAGAUAUUUAUAGACAUUGAUAAGAUCAAGGUGAGUCAGAAUGUAGCCAAGAACACCUUAUUCGCCUUCUCUUCAAACCUUGGUUGUCCAUGCAGGCUGGUGUUGAGAAAACCUUUUGAAGCUUUUUGGGAUUUAACCUGCUCGUAACGGUAAAUUAUGUGGUUAAUGCCUCUUGAUGUGUUGCGGCUGAAUCGUGGCUUGAAGGUCACAACUGGUCUACCACCAGCCUUAUUUAUCUACCGACGUGGUUGCUCUUUCUGUUGAUGGGAAGAAAAACAAGAAUAUGUGAUUGUGCGUGGAUUUCCAAGGAAAAACUGAGAGAUCUGAGGACAAGUUCUUUCCUUUGCCACCAAGAUUGACAUGUCAUGGUGGAGGAGAUGGUUGUAGGACCUGGGAGGAGGGAAGAGAUGGGAGAGGGUGUGCAGCUUUUGGGAAGAAGAUGGAUUAAAGUUUGGGUUGGUGAUAAACGUGAAGGUUGUUCAUGGGGCAGAGAUAGUUGGAGCAGGGAAAACGAGGACUGUAGAGCCACAGGUGAAGGAAAAACUGAAGUAUCUUGGAUCUGCAGCGUGGUCCAGCGGUAGGAUAUUGGAUUUGGGUGUUCAACCUAAGCCCAGCAAGGCUUAUGUGUAAAACCUGUACAAGGAAACCGUGUGUUUUAUGCCAAACAGAAGAAAAAUUAUUCAUUACAUCUCCUAAGAGGAGCAAUGUGUGGUGUCCGUGGAGUAAGGUGUGCGGUCCGUGGUUACGUUUGUCCUUGAGACAUGGGUGCGUGUAAACACAGUUCACACGUGUCUGGUUUUGAGGCUGCAUAACUAUCAUAUCCAUCUUUAUUUGAUUCUGUGCUACGGGGCUCAUAUUCCCUCAUUUCAAAUGUGAAAAAUGGAACCAUAGAGUGUUGACGCAACCACCUCUGCAGCAGGACGCGCUCAGAGCAUCUUCAUCCCCUUCCACAGUGCAAGCUCAGGUUUCUCCUGGAUCGUUUCUUUUCCCUUGUAUCAAAUUUUGCUCCCGGUUUAAGAUUUAUAUUAAAAAGAACAACACCA